UGGUGAUAAGGGAUUCAGAUAUUAUCAUAACAAAAAAUUAAUAGUCAUUACAAAAUAUUCCUUAUAACAUUAAGGGUAGCUAAAUUAUCAAGUCUAACAAAAAAAUUACCUCUUCUUAAACUGCUAAAACAACUGAACUAACAGAUGGAGGAAACUGGAUGACGAACAACGACAUUAGGGUUGGUCUAUUUGGAUCCAUCCUUGGACAAAAGAUGUUCCACCAUGUGUCCUUGCCUGAAGCUAUGCCGCAUUAUCGGGCUCCCUAGGAUUUACAUUAACAAUCUGCGGGCAUCAACGAUAGAGACAUAAGUAGGUGUUGGAUUUUCUAAUAGUAAUAUUACCUCCGUUGAUAUCAAUAUAAUUUCCAGCAGGGAAAAGUCAAAUAUGAAUCACAUAAAAUUAUAAAAAGAGUCCCAGAUUAAGAAACAUAAGCAAGAUUCUACCCUUUUGGAGUGAAACAAACAAAUAGAAUGUUUUUUGAGAAAACAGUCAAACACAGGAUCAAAAAGGAAAAUAUGGAAGACUACCUUGAUAAUUUGUGAUUCUUUUUCUCGAAAAGGAAAAUAUGGAAGACUACCUUGAUUAUUUGUGAUUCUUUUUCUCGAAUAGCUUCUGAUGUUUAUCAAUCAGCACUGAAGAUGAGUAAAGCAGUGCAGACAUGUACACGACAAGUGAUUCUAUAUACGGUGGCAGGGACGCAAGUGAAAUUAUCCAAAAGGAAGCAGUUUUUUUCCGGGACCAUGUCGCAGUGCCAGCAGCUCGUGAACAGUUGUUGCUUCAUACUACAAACAUCCAUUGAGGAGCAAAAUGUUUGUACAACAUCAGUAAAAAUCAUGAAAUAUGUACUUGCAACAUAGUAAACUUUUCCAUACUCUAUAUCCUUCUUGAAAAUUGAUUAUUCCACAAAUCUUUGUUAUUAUAAAUAUUCUUUUGCAAUAGUAUUGAAAAAAAGGAUUAGAACCUGCAGAGAGAGCUUAAGCAAUACUAAAGCAGCAAACGCAGAAUGUUUCUAUUAGAUAAACUAUAAUGUACAGCCCAAGUAAUACACAUAAUUCUAAUUCUUCAAAAAAAUUAAACGAAAAUAAUAUACAUACUUGAGAUAUUAUAAAAUAACAAUUUUAAUGUGUAAUUAAUUCAAUAUUUCUGACUUUUGAGACAAAGGAACAGUGAACUAUCAGAAGUUUUUCAUCAGCUAUAAAGAUUGACAAAGAAAAUGAAUUACUUGGCAAUGACUUCUCUACUCUAACUAUGAAAAUGAUGUACUAAAAAACUACAUUUAUUGUUCACAGAGAGGAGGGAUAAAAUCUUGAAAUAAUUAAGAGGCUAUAUUGAAUUUCAGAAACAUUUGUAACUAACACAUCUUUCCAAUACAAACUGAAAAAGAGAAAUCAAAGUUAGCUGCAAAUUCUAUUGCAAAUAGGGGUGUUCAAGGUUCGGUUUGGAUCGGUUAUUUAUCGGUUUUUUCUUAAAUAUAAGAAAUACACUACCAAACGCACAUUUCGGCGAUCACAUUUUCAACGCAACACUAUCAAAUCAAUUGCCCUUUGAGAAAUCUAUUAUUUACCAAGAUAUAUUGAUGAUAAUUGAAUCAAAUAGUGAUGAAUAAUUUAAGGACUCAAUUAAAAAUAUAUUAUUUUUAACAUGAAAUAGAUUCUUACACUUAACAAAAGAAAACUACCAAUUAAACUAGAAUGUAAAGGUAAAGAACUGUACUAAAAGUACAAAUGAUUAAUAUUUACUAUAAAAAUUUUAAAACUUUGUAUAAAAAUAUACAUAUAUAUAGGUGUAAUAAUAAAUUUAAAAUGGCUACUNNNNNNNNNNNNNNNNNNNNNNNNNNNNNNNNNNNNNNNNNNNNNNNNNNNNNNNNNNNNNNNNNNNNNNNNNNNNNNNNNNNNNNNNNNNNNNNNNNNNNNNNNNNNNNNNNNNNNNNNNNNNNNNNNNNNNNNNNNNNNNNUUUGAUUCGGGUUUUCGGAUUUUUAUGAACACCCCUAAUUGCAAAGAUUAACUUGAGGCACCAAUGCAAGCCCAAUGCUUCUAAUGCAAUACAAUCAAUGUUAAGCUUUAAAAAUAUCUCACUACUGAUAAAAUUCUUUUCAAAAUGUAUAGUUUUAUGUGAUAUCAAGUAGUUAUGUCCAACCUCUUCAGUAUUUACCGUCUUAAAAUCCUAUUUCUAAGAUAAGAUUGCAUAUUUUACUAUUCAUAAUCUUCCUAACAACAGGACGAAAUAGUGAUUGUGUACUAAACUUGAAAAAAGACACGAGCGGCUAACAAAAAGCCGAGGGUGAGCUGCAGUAGGGCUUGCUUUACCUGCAAAUAUUUUCACAAACAGGAUAUUAAAUUAGAUCACAGAAUGUUGAAAGACGGAAAAGAAAGUGGUUUCAUCUAACAUAGAAGAACCUACAUAUUUAUGUCAAGUUUUUCCCCUCAAGCAUAACAAAGAAAGUGGUUUCCAUAAUACUAACAAAGUUUUUGAAAAAAAAAAUUGAAAUAUAUAUUUACAGAAAGAAUAACAAAGCGCAAUUUGUUGUUGACCUUCAUUUCAUUCUCAAUGGAGUUGUUUGCUCCAGUUUUUGUUUCAUCUUUAACGAUUUCAGUUGGUAACGCAUAUUUAUUCUUUGGUGUAUCAAAAGAGUCUUUCUUUCUUGCUGCCUUCACAAAUGUCAGUAAACGUCUAUGCUAGGAGAGAAUGAAGAAUGUUUUCUUUUUCAACACAUGAUAAAAUAUUCAAUUCUCCAGACAUUGUGGAAGAAAUGCAUGCUAAUAAUUUUUUAGCUUGGAUUACGAACAGUUUGAGUAAGCAACUUUUUGGCAAAGACUCUUCUUGGAAAAAAAUACUAAGCUUUUUGUAAGAUCAAUCAUGUAAUAGACAUGUAUAAAUUGUUUAGUUCAAAUAAUCGCAGAAUAUUUUUACAGAUUGAAUUUGUAUUUUGAUUGAGGUUACCUUGUAAAUUUCCUCUACAGUAUGGGAUAGAGUAGUAUUUUUCUCCUUAUUCUCUCACAAUUAUCUCAAUUAUUGAGCCGGAGGCAUCUUGAAAAUCAAGAUCAAACCUGUAACAGUGUAUGACUAAAACACUAUGUUGAUAAGAACAGAAGAUUCUGGUAAAAAUUUAGUAUUAUGUCUUCAUCCACGGGAACAAGGAUGAGAGAUUCGAAUUUUGAUGCACUACUCAUGGUGAAAGAGACAAGCAUUUCUCCGUCUUCCAUGAUCUUGUCCAUGGUAGAAAACACUAAACUUUUGAAGAUUAAUAAUAAGAAAGAAACAAACACAAUAUAUGUAGGAGCAGGGAGUAGUGUUAUACCUUACAUGUAGUUGCUACAUUGUGGAUAAGGUGGGUCAAUCUGUAUUGACGUUUUGAACCUUGUAGUCAAUGAUGUAUCUACAUUAAUUAAGUACAAGAGAUUACAAAAUUACACUGUAACUUUGUAUAAGAUGGAUUAUUGUUUAUUUUAGCUUACCAUUAUAGUUGAACCCCCAAUAUUUCUUGCAAGAAUGACAGGAUAUUCUUUGAAUUAUUUCAUGAGUUACUUCGUUGAACUUUAAUAAAUGCUUUUCUGGUAUCUCGGUAAAUAAAAUAUAAAUAUAUUAAAUCCAAAACUUACUCAAUAAGUAUCUUACUUUCUUUCAGAUGCUUCUUCACUUGUCAACUUUAAUUAGGAUCAAGCUUAUUCUACAACUAAAAAGACAAUGAGUAUACAAGCUGCACAAGAAGCAGGGUGGAUAAAUAGCUGCUAUUGCACAUUAUAAAUUAUUUCUAUUUCAAAAAGGUAAAAGAAAGGUACUUUAUUUCCUUAAGCUAAUUUUCAAAUGUUAAGUUAAUGCAACAUCAAUUUUCAACUAAGAAAAACAUGCACAUGUAAGAAGCCACUUACAAAGAAGACAUUGAAAUAUACAUUUGAAAGAGGGUAUUUUAUUAAAACUUUAGGAAGUUCUGCUAUUUAUAUUAUUGGUUUACGCUUAUAGGAUUAAGUUAAUUUCUAAAUGAAACUAACAAAACAUAGUCACGAAACAACAAAUGCAUACAAAAUGAUCUCAGCUGAUCUACGCUAACUCAAAAGAUCCAAAAGAAAGAAAAAUAUUUUUAAACAAAAAUUAGCAUAUAGUAUUCCUCCAAAUUAAAUGAAUAAAAAGUAACAUAAACAAAAAAAAUACGUAGUUGAAAUAACAUUAAACUUCAUGACAAAUCCAAUUGAGAGCUAAUCUGUGACAAUCUAAAACAUGCAAAAUACAAAAACUUUUAAGGAGACAAAUUAGCAUUCAUUCACCCAGAAACAACCAAAAACAAAAACCCGAAUAUUUUGAUCGAAGCUGAAAUAGAAUAAAAAAAUUUCAACCAACUGAGAGCUAAUCUACUAAUAUCACAUAAAAUUAGCAUUAUUCCAAAAUCGACCCCAAGAAAAUAGAACAACAAUAGGAUUUUUUUAUAGAAUCCAUAAUGCUUGCAAGAGUCAUGGAAGCAGAAGGCAAAAGAAAGAUUUUUGGCUGCAUUUGGUAUCAAUUUGAUGGAGAAUGAUAUGUGGAUCUAGAUUGAGAAUGAAAAAAGAAAAUAGUAAAAUUAGAAUGAGAUAAGAAUAGAAAAAGAAUGAGCAAAGAUGGCCGUACCAAGCUUCAAUACAUGAACGCCCACCGUUUGUUGCCGACGACGAUAAAGACCCAAAGCUUCACUCAAAUCUAUUGCUUUUAGACUCUAUCGUUACGAUAGAGAGAAGUUGGAGGUGAAACGGACGCAUGGAAGAAGAGGGUCUUGAGUUGAGACAUGUAGAGUCG
rnacentral:lncRNA from 1 species